rnacentral:rRNA from 1 species
AGUGAACGCUGGCGGUAGGCCUAACACAUGCAAGUCGAACGGCAGCACAGUAAGAGCUUGCUCUUACGGGUGGCGAGUGGCGGACGGGUGAGGAAUACAUCGGAAUCUACUUUUUCGUGGGGGAUAACGUAGGGAAACUUACGCUAAUACCGCAUACGACCUACGGGUGAAAGCAGGGGAUCUUCGGACCUUGCGCGAUUGAAUGAGCCGAUGUCGGAUUAGCUAGUUGGCGGGGUAAAGGCCCACCAAGGCGACGAUCCGUAGCUGGUCUGAGAGGAUGAUCAGCCACACUGGAACUGAGACACGGUCCAGACUCCUACGGGAGGCAGCAGUGGGGAAUAUUGGACAAAUGGGCGCAAGCCUGAUCCAGCCAUACCGCGUGGGUGAAGAAGGCCUUCGGGUUGUAAAGCCCUUUUGUUGGGAAAGAAAAGCAGCAGGUUAAUACCCCGCUGUUCUGACGGUACCCAAAGAAUAAGCACCGGCUAACUUCGUG